GACGAACGCUGGCGGCGUGCUUAACACAUGCAAGUCGAACGGAAAGGCCCUGCUUGCAGGGUGCUCGAGUGGCGAACGGGUGAGUAACACGUGGGUGAUCUGCCCCUUACUUUGGGAUAAGCCUGGGAAACUGGGUCUAAUACUGGAUAGGACCAUGCUGUAGGUGGUGUGGUGGAAAGAUUAGUUUCGGUAAGGGAUGAGCUCGCGGCCUAUCAGCUUGUUGGUGGGGUAAUGGCCUACCAAGGCGUCGACGGGUAGCCGGCCUGAGAGGGUGGACGGCCACAUUGGGACUGAGAUACGGCCCAGACUCCUACGGGAGGCAGCAGUGGGGAAUAUUGCACAAUGGGCGCAAGCCUGAUGCAGCGACGUCGCGUGGGGGAUGACGGCCUUCGGGUUGUAAACUCCUUUCAGCCAUGACGAAGCCCUUGUGGUGACGGUAGUGGUAGAAGAAGCACCGGCUAACUACGUG
rnacentral:rRNA from 1 species